CGCGUAGGCGGCCAGGCACGUCUGGUGUGAAAACGCUACUGCUCAACAGAGCGAUUGCGCUGGAUACGGCUUGGCUAGAGUCCGGGAGAGGUGAGUGGAAUUCCUGGUGUAGCGGUGGAAUGCGUAGAUAUCAGGAAGAACACCGGUGGCGAAGGCGGCUCACUGGCCCGGCACUGACGCUGAGGCGCGAAAGCGUGGGGAGCAAACG
rnacentral:rRNA from 1 species